rnacentral:rRNA from 1 species
UACGUAGGGUGCGAGCGUUGUCCGGAAUUAUUGGGCGUAAAGAGCUUGUAGGCGGUCUGUCGCGUCUGCUGUGAAAAUCCGGGGCUCAACCCCGGACUUGCAGUGGGUACGGGCAGACUAGAGUGUGGUAGGGGAGACUGGAAUUCCUGGUGUAGCGGUGAAAUGCGCAGAUAUCGGGAAGAACACCCGUGGCGAAGGCGGCUCUCUGGAACGCAACUGACGCUGAGACGCGAAAGCGUGGGGAGCAAACAGG